rnacentral:tRNA from 1 species
GGUGUUGUAGCUCAGUGGUAGAGUACUUGCCUCGCAUACAUGAGGCCCUGGGUUCGAUCCUCAGCACCA